rnacentral:misc_RNA from 1 species
UCUCCGUAGGUGAACCUGCGGAGGGAUCAUUACAGAGUUCUCGCCCUUACGGGUAGAUCUCCCACCCACUGUUAUCGUUACUGUCGUUUCUUUGGCGGGCCGCCGGGUCCCCGGCCGCCGGCGCCUAGCUGCCGGCGCGCGCCCGCCAGAGGCCUCCAAACUCUGAAUGUUAGUGUCGUCUGAGUACUAUAUAAUAGUUAAAACUUUCAACAACGGAUCUCUUGGUUCUG